UACGGAGGAUGCAAGCGUUAUCCGGAUUCAUUGGGUUUAAAGGGUGCGCAGGCGGAUUAUUAAGUCAGGGGUGAAAUCCCACGGCUCAACCGUGGAACUGCCUUUGAUACUGAUAGUCUAGAGUAUAGUUGAAGUUGGCGGAAUGUGUCAUGUAGCGGUGAAAUGCUUAGAUAUGACACAGAACACCGAUCGCGAAGGCAGCUAGCUAAGCUAUAACUGACGCUCAUGCACGAAAGCGUGGGGAU
rnacentral:rRNA from 1 species